UGCGUAGGCGGAAUAGUCAGUCAGUGGUGAAAUCCUGCAGCUUAACUGUAGAGCUGCCAUUGAUACUUCUAUUCUUGAGUUCAGUUGAGGUAGGCGGAAUGUGUAGUGUAGCGGUGAAAUGCUUAGAUAUUACACAGAACACCGAUUGCGAAGGCAGCUUACUAAACUGACACUGACGCUGAGGCACGAAAGCGUGGGGAGCGAACAGGAUUAGAUACCCUGGUAGUCC
rnacentral:rRNA from 1 species